AAGUAUAUAGGAAUUGUAGAAGUUAAUUAAGGUGCCAUCGUUGUCAUAGUUUGAGCCGGGAUAAGCUUGGUGCUACCUCUUUUCUUUUGUUUGUUAUUUUCUUUGAAUAAGAUGAUUGAGAGUUUCUGAAUAUUGUGAAGUGAAUUAUGGAAUGGAAAUGUGAUUGGUAUUAUUUUAAAAGAAGAAAGAUUGAAUGCUGAAAUCUGAUUAUAGUUCAGGAGAGAGAAUGAGUCUAUGUUUGUCUGAAACUUUGUAAUGUGAAUGGCAGUUCUGUGUGAAGAAUUCCAGUGAUUGGAACGAGGAUAAUUGUGUGCUAAAAGUUGUGAGGGCGUAGUAUUACAGUUGGAGAUUAUGAAGGUGAAUAUAUUGGUAGAAAUAGCAGUUAUUGGUAUGACUGAAUUGCUGUAAGGAAGAGACCGAUAAGGUGAAGGAGGAGAUUGUAGUUUCGUUGUCUAUUCAGAUAUUGGAAAUAGAGACGAUACAUUCAAGAGAUAAUUGAUUGUGUGAUCCUAACGUGAAUGCUUAAUAAAAUAGUUAUUUUCCGUGUUCAAAUCACCCUAUACGAGUUUA
rnacentral:lncRNA from 1 species